rnacentral:rRNA from 1 species
GACGAACGCUGGCGGCGUGCUUAACACAUGCAAGUCGAACGGAGGAUUUAUUUCGGUAAAUCCUUAGUGGCGAACGGGUGAGUAACGCGUGGGCAAUCUGCCCUUCAGAUGGGGACAACAUCCCGAAAGGGGUGCUAAUACCGAAUACGAUCACGCUGCCGCAUGGCGGUGUGAUGAAAGAUGGCCUCUAUUUAUAAGCUAUCGCUGAAGGAUGAGCCUGCGUCUGAUUAGCUAGUUGGUGGGGUAACGGCCUACCAAGGCGAUGAUCAGUAGCCGGUCUGAGAGGAUGAACGGCCACAUUGGGACUGAGACACAGCCCAAACUCCUACGGGAGGCAGCAGUGGGGAAUAUUCCGCAAUGGACGAAAGUCUGACGGAGCAACGCCGCGUGAGUGAUGAAGGUUUUCGGACUGUAAAGCUCUGUUGUUUAGGACGAAAGUGCCUGUUGCGAAUAGUUACAGGUAUUGACGGUACUGAACGAGGAAGCCACGGCUAACUACGUGCCAGCCGCCGCAGUAACAC